AUUAAUGAGAGUUUGAUCCUGGCUCAGGACGAACGCUGGCGGCGUGCCUAAUACAUGCAAGUAGAACGCUGAAGAGAGGAGCUUGCUCUUCUUGGAUGAGUUGCGAACGGGUGAGUAACGCGUAGGUAACCUGCCUUGUAGCGGGGGAUAACUAUUGGAAACGAUAGCUAAUACCGCAUAACAAUGGAUGACACAUGUCAUUUAUUUGAAAGGGGCAAUUGUUCCACUACAAGAUGGACCUGCGUUGUAUUAGCUAGUAGGUGAGGUAAUGGCUCACCUAGGCGACGAUACAUAGCCGACCUGAGAGGGUGAUCGGCCACACUGGGACUGAGACACGGCCCAGACUCCUACGGGAGGCAGCAGUAGGGAAUCUUCGGCAAUGGGGGCAACCCUGACCGAGCAACGCCGCGUGAGUGAAGAAGGUUUUCGGAUCGUAAAGCUCUGUUGUAAGUCAAGAACGGGUGUGAGAGUGGAAAGUUCACACUGUGACGGUAGCUUACCAGAAAGGGACGGCUAACUACGUGCCAGCAGCCGCGGUAAUACGUAGGUCCCGAGCGUUGUCCGGAUUUAUUGGGCGUAAAGCGAGCGCAGGCGGUUUGAUAAGUCUGAAGUUAAAGGCUGUGGCUCAACCAUAGUUCGCUUUGGAAACUGUCAAACUUGAGUGCAGAAGGGGAGAGUGGAAUUCCAUGUGUAGCGGUGAAAUGCGUAGAUAUAUGGAGGAACACCGGUGGCGAAAGCGGCUCUCUGGUCUGUAACUGACGCUGAGGCUCGAAAGCGUGGGGAGCGAACAGGAUUAGAUACCCUGGUAGUCCACGCCGUAAACGAUGAGUGCUAGGUGUUGGAUCCUUUCCGGGAUUCAGUGCCGCAGCUAACGCAUUAAGCACUCCGCCUGGGGAGUACGACCGCAAGGUUGAAACUCAAAGGAAUUGACGGGGGCCCGCACAAGCGGUGGAGCAUGUGGUUUAAUUCGAAGCAACGCGAAGAACCUUACCAGGUCUUGACAUCCCGAUGCUAUUUCUAGAGAUAGAAAGUUACUUCGGUACAUCGGUGACAGGUGGUGCAUGGUUGUCGUCAGCUCGUGUCGUGAGAUGUUGGGUUAAGUCCCGCAACGAGCGCAACCCCUAUUGUUAGUUGCCAUCAUUCAGUUGGGCACUCUAGCGAGACUGCCGGUAAUAAACCGGAGGAAGGUGGGGAUGACGUCAAAUCAUCAUGCCCCUUAUGACCUGGGCUACACACGUGCUACAAUGGUUGGUACAACGAGUUGCGAGUCGGUGACGGCGAGCUAAUCUCUUAAAGCCAAUCUCAGUUCGGAUUGUAGGCUGCAACUCGCCUACAUGAAGUCGGAAUCGCUAGUAAUCGCGGAUCAGCACGCCGCGGUGAAUACGUUCCCGGGCCUUGUACACACCGCCCGUCACACCACGAGAGUUUGUAACACCCGAAGUCGGUGAGGUAACCUUUUGGAGCCAGCCGCCUAAGGUGGGACAGAUGAUUGGGGUGAAGUCGUAACAAGGUAGCCGUAUCGGAAGGUGCGGCUGGAUCACCUCCUUU
rnacentral:rRNA from 3 species